GAGUGGCGAACUGGUGAGUAACACGUGGGAAACCUGCCCAGAAGCGGGGGAUAACACCUGGAAACAGAUGCUAAUACCGCAUAACAACUUGGACCGCAUGGUCCGAGUUUGAAAGAUGGCUUCGGCUAUCACUUUUGGAUGGUCCCGCGGCGUAUUAGCUAGAUGGUGAGGUAACGGCUCACCAUGGCAAUGAUACGUAGCCGACCUGAGAGGGUAAUCGGCCACAUUGGGACUGAGACACGGCCCAAACUCCUACGGGAGGCAGCAGUAGGGAAUCUUCCACAAUGGACGAAAGUCUGAUGGAGCAACGCCGCGUGAGUGAAGAAGGGUUUCGGCUCGUAAAACUCUGUUGUUAAAGAAGAACAUAUCUGAGAGUAACUGUUCAGGUAUUGACGGUAUUUAACCAGAAAGCCACGGCUAACUACGUGCCAGCAGCCGCGGUAAUACGUAGGUGGCAAGCGUUGUCCGGAUUUAUUGGGCGUAAAGCGAGCGCAGGCGGUUUUUUAAGUCUGAUGUGAAAGCCUUCGGCUCAACCGAAGAAGUGCAUCGGAAACUGGGAAACUUGARUGCAGAAGAGGACAGUGGAACUCCAUGUGUAGCGGUGAAAUGCGUAGAUAUAUGGAAGAACACCAGUGGCGAAGGCGGCUGUCUGGUCUGUAACUGACGCUGAGGCUCGAAAGUAUGGGUAGCAAACAGGAUUAGAUACCCUGGUAGUCCAUACCGUAAACGAUGAAUGCUAAGUGUUGGAGGGUUUCCGCCCUUCAGUGCUGCAGCUAACGCAUUAAGCAUUCCGCCUGGGGAGUACGGCCGCAAGGCUGAAACUCAAAGGAAUUGACGGGGGCCCGCACAAGCGGUGGAGCAUGUGGUUUAAUUCGAAGCUACGCGAAGAACCUUACCAGGUCUUGACAUACUAUGCAAAUCUAAGAGAUUAGACGUUCCCUUCGGGGACAUGGAUACAGGUGGUGCAUGGUUGUCGUCAGCUCGUGUCGUGAGAUGUUGGGUUAAGUCCCGCAACGAGCGCAACCCUUAUUAUCAGUUGCCAGCAUUAAGUUGGGCACUCUGGUGAGACUGCCGGUGACAAACCGGAGGAAGGUGGGGAUGACGUCAAAUCAUCAUGCCCCUUAUGACCUGGGCUACACACGUGCUACAAUGGAUGGUACAACGAGUUGCGAACUCGCGAGAGUAAGCUAAUCUCUUAAAGCCAUUCUCAGUUCGGAUUGUAGGCUGCAACUCGCCUACAUGAAGUCGGAAUCGCUAGUAAUCGCGGAUCAGCAUGCCGCGGUGAAUACGUUCCCGGGCCUUGUACACACCGCCCGUCACACCAUGAGAGUUUGUAACACCCAAAGUCGGUGGGGUAACC
rnacentral:rRNA from 1 species